UGAUGAAGCCAGUCAGAACACCCAGAGCCC
rnacentral:piRNA from 1 species